rnacentral:rRNA from 1 species
AACGAACGCUGGCGGCAGGCCUAACACAUGCAAGUCGAGCGCCCCCUUCAGUGCUCAGCUAUUAAAGCUGAUCACUGAUGGGGGAGCGGCGGACGGGUGAGUAACGCGUGGGAAUUUUCCUCAAGGUACGGAACAACUCAGGGAAACUUGGGCUAAUACCGUAUGAUGCAGAGAUGCCAAAGAUUUAUCGCCUUGGGAUAAGCCCGCGUCAGAUUAGGUAGUUGGNGGGGUAACGGCCUACCAAGCCUGCGAUCUGUAGCUGGUCUGAGAGGACGAUCAGCCACACUGGGACUGAGACACGGCCCAGACUCCUACGGGAGGCAGCAGUGGGAAUCUUGCGCAAUGGGCGAAAGCCUGACGCAGCCAUGCCGCGUGAGUGAAGAAGGCC